AGUGAAUCACAUUUCGCCCAGAAAAAUACACCUAGGAACUGAAGGAUGAAGAAGUGUCCACAAGCUUCACUAGUGAUCUUUUGGCUUCAACUGAGCUGGGCGAGCAGUGAAGACAAAGUGGUACAGAGCCCCCCAUCUCUGGUUGUGCAUGAGGGAGACAGUGCAAUUCUCAACUGCAGUUAUGAAGUGACGAACUUUCAAAGCCUACAGUGGUACAAGCAGGAAGAGAAAGCUCCUACAUUCCUGUUUACACUAAUUUCAAGUGGGAAUGAGAAGAAGUCAGGAAGCUUAAGUAGCACAUUAGAUAAGGAAAAACUUCUCAGCACCCUGAACAUCACAGCCACCCAGCCCGGAGACUCAGCCACCUACCUCUGUGCUGUGGAGGCACAGUGCUCCCUCGUCACCUGCAGCCUGUACCAAAUCAUACCGUUAAGGCGCUGCUAA